AGAGAGAGACAUGCGCGCAUAUCAAUAAGCGGAGGAAAAGAAACUAACAAGGAUUCCCUUAGUAACGGCGAGUGAAGCGGGAAGAGCUCAAAUUUGAAAUCUUCAAGGUUCUACCUUGACGAAUUGUAGUUUAUAGAAGUGUUUUCUGUUAGUGGAGUGGCUAAAAGUUCUUUGGAAUAGGACAUCAUAGAGGGUGAGAAUCCCGUAUUUGGUCAUUCCUCCUAGCGUUGUGAUACACUUUCAACGAGUCGGAUUGUUUGGGAAUGCAGUCCAAAAUGGGUGGUAAAUUUCAUCCUAAGCUAAAUAUUGGCGAGAGACCGAUAGCGAACAAGUACCGUGAGGGAAAGAUGAAAAGAACUUUGAAAAGAGAGUCAAACAGUACGUGAAAUUGUCAAAAGGGAAGCGUUUGACACCAGUGUUGUUUUUCCGAAAAUCAAUUACGAAUGUUUUAUUUUUGAGGAGUUAUGACUUCAUCGGCUUGCUCCUUUCUUUACGAAACUUUCUUAAUGCACUUUUCGGUUAACAAGUCAACAUCAAUUUCUUUUGUUGUAAAAGGGUAUGAGGAAGGUGGCUUUCUUUUCGGAGAAAGUGUUUAUAGCCUUGUAGCCUCUGCAAUCGGAGAGAUUGAGGUCUGCAGCGUAGAUCCUUCGGGGUUAGAUACAGUUUGUGCUAAGUUAUAGCUUUUCAUAGACAACUUGUUGACUAUGUUUAGUCUUGUAGCUUACUCGCUUAUGCUAUUUUACCUACGCUUAGGAUGUUGAUAGUCACAGCGUGUAC
rnacentral:rRNA from 1 species